UUGUGGACCCUGCUGCGGGCCUCCCUGCUGGGGUCCUCCCCGUGGGCCUCCCUGCUGGGGUCCUCCCUGUGGGCCUCCCUGCUGGGGUCCUCCCCGUGGGCCUCCCUGCUGGGGUCCUCCCCGUGGUCCUCCCUGUGGGCCUCCCUGUUGUGGGCCUCCCUGCUGGGGUCCACGCUGUGGUCCUCCCUGCUGGGGUCCUCGCUGUGGGCCUCCCUGUUGGGGUCCUCCCUGUGGGCCUCCCUGUGGUCCUCCCUGCUGGGGUCCUCGCUGUGGGCCUCCCUGUGGUCCUCCCUGUUGUGGUCCUUCCUGCUGGGGUCCUCCCUGUGGGCCUCCCUGCUGGGGUCCUCCCUGUGGCCCUCCCUGUUGUGGGCCUCCCUGCUGGGGUCUACCCUGUGGGCCUCCCUGUUGGGGUCCUCCCUGUGGGCCUCCCUGCUGGGGUCCUCCCUGUGGGCCUCCCUGUUGUGGGCCUCCCUGCUGGGGACCUCCCUGUGGGCCUCCUUGCUGAAGACCUCCUUGUGGGCCUCCCCUCUGGGGUCCUCCCUGCUGGGGUCCUCCCUGUGGGCCUCCCUGUUGAGGUCCUCCCUGUGGACCUCCCUGUUGUGGUCCUCCCUGCUGGGGUCCACCUUGUGGACCUCCUUGCUGAGGUCCUCCUUGUGGGCCUCCCCUCUGAGGUCCUCCAUGUUGUGGUCCUCCCUGCUGGGGUGCACCCUGUGGUCCUCCCUGCUGGGUUCCUCUCUGUGGGCCUCCCUGUUGGGGUCCUCCCUGUGGGCCUCCCUGUUGGGGUCCUCCUUGCUGGGGACCUCCCUGUUGUGGUCCUCCCUGUGGUCCUCCCUGCUGGGGGCCUCCCUGUUGGGGUCCUCCCUGUGGGCCUCCCUGUUGGGAUCCUCCCUGUUGUGGUCCUCCCUGUGGUCCUCCCUGCUGGGGGCCUCCCUGUUGGUUUCCUUGGCUAGUGUUGUUCUGUUGGCCUCCUUGUUGAGGUGGUCGCUGCUGGUUUCCAGGGCGAGGUGGGCGAGUAGAAUUCUGCUGGCCCCCCUGUGGUGGUCCACCUUGGUUUCCAGGGCGAGGUGGGCGAGUAGAAUUUUGUUGGCCUCCCUGUGGUGGUCCACCUUGGUUUCCAGGGAAAGGUGGGCGGGUCUGGUUAUGUUGGCCUCCUGGGCCCGGUGGUUUGUUCUGAUGACGAGUUUCUUGGCUAUCAUCAUCAGUUUGACUUGUUGCAGAGGUCUGGCCUAG
rnacentral:lncRNA from 1 species